rnacentral:rRNA from 1 species
CUACCAGACUCCUACGGGAGGCAGCAGUGGGGAAUAUUGGGCAAUGGGCGCAAGCCUGACCCAGCAACGCCGCGUGAAGGAAGAAGGCCCUCGGGUUGUAAACUUCUUUUAUUCGGGACGAAACAAAUGACGGUACCGAAUGAAUAAGCCACGGCUAACUACGUGCCAGCAGCCGCGGUAAUACGUAGGUGGCAAGCGUUGUCCGGAUUUACUGGGUGUAAAGGGCGUGCAGCCGGGCUGACAAGUCAGAUGUGAAAUCCCGCGGCUCAACCGCGGAACUGCAUUUGAAACUGUCAGUCUUGAGUACCGGAGAGGUCAUCGGAAUUCCUUGUGUAGCGGUGAAAUGCGUAGAUAUAAGGAAGAACACCAGUGGCGAAGGCGGAUGACUGGACGGCAACUGACGGUGAGGCGCGAAAGCGUGGGGAGCAAACAGGAUUAGAUACCCCCGUAAAG